rnacentral:rRNA from 1 species
UCCUACGGGGGGCAGCAGUGGGGAAUCUUGCGCAAUGCGCGAAAGCGUGACGCAGCAACGCCGCGUGGGGGAAGACGGCCUUCGGGUUGUAAACCCCUUUCAGGAGGGACGAAGGUCACACGGUUAAUAGCCGGCGUGAUUGACGGUACCUCCAGAAGAAGCCCCGGCUAACUACGUGCCAGCAGCCGCGGUAAUACGUAGGGGGCAAGCGUUGUCCGGAAUUAUUGGGCGUAAAGAGCGCGUAGGCGGUCCGAUAAGUCGGCUGUGAAAGUCAAGGGCUCAACCCUUGAAAGCCGGCCGAUACUGUCGGACUAGAGUCCGGAAGAGGCGAGUGGAAUUCCCGGUGUAGCGGUGAAAUGCGCAGAUAUCGGGAGGAACACCAAUGGCGAAGGCAGCUCGCUGGGACGGUACUGACGCUGAGGCGCGAAAGCGUGGGGAGCAAACAGGAUUAGAUACCCUGGUAGA